rnacentral:rRNA from 1 species
GAGGAAAAGAAACCAACUGGGAUUACCUUAGUAACGGCGAGUGAAGCGGUAAAAGCUCAAAUUUGAAAUCUGGUACUUUCAGUGCCCGAGUUGUAAUUUGUAGAAUUUGUCUUUGAUUAGGUCCUUGUCUAUGUUCCUUGGAACAGGACGUCAUAGAGGGUGAGAAUCCCGUUUGGCGAGGAUACCUUUUCUCUGUAAGACUUUUUCGAAGAGUCGAGUUGUUUGGGAAUGCAGCUCAAAGUGGGUGGUAAAUUCCAUCUAAAGCUAAAUAUUGGCGAGAGACCGAUAGCGAACAAGUACAGUGAUGGAAAGAUGAAAAGAACUUUGAAAAGAGAGUGAAAAAGUACGUGAAAUUGUUGAAAGGGAAGGGCAUUUGAUCAGACAUGGUGUUUUUUGCAUGCACUCGCCUCUCGUGGGCUUGGGCCUCUCAAAAAUUUCACUGGGCCAACAUCAAUUCUGGCAGCAGGAUAAAUCAUUAAGAAUGUAGCUACUUCGGUAGUGUUAUAGCUUUUUGGAAUACUG